UUGUUUACUAAUGCACUUUCCUCAAAAUGCACACAUGAUACCAGUGCCCUCACAUCUGUCAUGAUCUGAGUUCGGAUUUAGAGUUUGAAGUUCGAGAUAGUCAGAUAGAAUAUGGAUACACGAACGACCUAAGUUUUUUCGGAUUUGCGGUGACUGAACAGGAGACGGAGAGUUUUGUGGUGUCAUCUGAAACUGAUAGAAAUUAACACAAUGUUGAGUCUUGAGACCAAGCGGAUAAUUUAUUGUUUGACUGCAACAAUAAUGAAAAAGUCACAGAGCAAUUUUUAGACUUAAAAUGUUCUGUUGAAAUUGUUGUUGACAAUAAGAAGAAAUAUGAAUGCAAUAUGUGUGAAAACAAAAAUAGCACAAGAACAGGAUACAAAAGACAUUUAGUUAGCCAUUCCAAUGAUGGUCAAAAGUCACUGUUUGCGAAAAAGUGUUCUAUUCCACCUAUGACUUAAAGAAUCAUAUGAGCAACCACAGAAACUUACGCACUUACUUGUGCAUUGAAUGUGAAAAAACCUUUAAAUCAAAACACGACUUAAAUGUUCACAAAACAAGGCUACACAAAUCUUACUUUAAAUUUGUGUGUGAAGUAUGUGGGCAGGGUUACAAUUAUAGAAAUGAGUUAGAUGGACACAAGGCAAAACAUGAUGGGUCCAAACCAUUUAAGUGUCCUAAGUGCAACAAAGCAUAUCAGUACUUGCCUAACCUGUCACGGCAUGUGUGCGGAAAAAUGGAAUCCUCCAAGUGUGAUAAGUGUGGAAGCAUUUUCAAGACAAAACACUACCUUCAAGAACACAUGAAGGCUCAUGAUGACCCCGAACAACAUCAGUGUUAUGUGUGUGGAACUUUUUACAAAUAUAGAUCUUCUUUUUAUAAACACAAAAAGAAGACUGGUCAUUAGUGUUUUAAAUGCUUUAGUCAGAAUAAGAACAGAUAAAACUCUGGAUAUAUUAUAAUGUUAUAAAGGCAAAUAAUUAUACAGUUAUAUCUGUUUACUGUAAGUCCUUAGCAGAAACUAAAUGGCAAUAGUAAACCCUUAUGAACCUUAUAAGCACUUGUUUUUCAGCCAGUCUUCAUCAUGAUGUUUGCUCAGAAGCUUUGCUUAGCAAUUAGGAAAUCAUUUUGUUGACAUAAAGAAGCAUUGCUUUUGAGAAAUUACCAAUACCCGGUAUACCAGCUGCAUGAAAUUAAUUUUAUAUUGUGGCAUUUAUUGUUUUAAUGCAGUCAUCUGAAUAUUAAUCCUGCCUUAAAAUAUAGUGUAGCAUUGUUGAUUUUGUGUCCUUAAGAUGAUGAUGAUUAUGAUUGGUUGGUUGAUGAUUAACAGCAACAAACUGUCUGAAUACGUUUUAUUUAAUAUUCUUGCUAUUUCAGGUAAUGACAUUUAUUUUUGGAGAAUAUUACAACUGUUAUAAUUUAAAUUGUUAUUAAACAGUAUUUGCAUAUUGGGUAUAUAUGUGUUAGGGCUCUGCAUUAAGGUUAUUCUGUUAAAACUACAUGUAUUUGAAUGCUUGAUGCAUGGUAUAUGUUUGUUAGGGCUGACUUGCAGUUGUUAAAUAAUAUUUUCUACCCCAUUUACGAGAUGCCAUGGUGACAAGCCAGUAUUGAUUGUAUGAAGUUUUAUUUCUUUGAGCAAGAUGCUUGAUGAUCAUUGCAACUUUUUAUGCCCCCAUUUCGAAGAAAAGGGGGUAUAUAGUUUUCGCACUGUCCGUCGGUCGGUCGGUCACACUUCGUGUCCGCUCUCUAAUUCAAAUAGUUUUCAUCCGAUCUUUACCAAACUUGGUCCGAAGUUGUAUCCAGACAAUAUUUAGGUCAAAUUCGAAUGUGGGUCAUGCCGGAUCAAAAACUAGGUCACGGGGUCACUUAGUGCAUUUCAAGGAUUUAGCAUGGUGUCCGCUCUCUAAUUGAAGUAGUUUUUAUCUGAUCUUUACUAAACUUGGUCAGAAGUUGUAUCAAGACAAUAUCUAGGUCAAGAUCGAAUAUGGGUCAUGCCGGGUCAAAAACUAGGUCACUGGGUCACUUAGUGCAUUUCAAGGAUUUAGCAUGGUGUCCGCUCUCUUAUUGAAGAAGUUUUCAUCUGAUCUUUACUAAACUUGGUAAGAAGUUGUAUCAAGACAAUAUCUAGGUCAAGUUUGAAUAUGGGUCAUGCCGGGUCAAAAACUAGGUCACGUGGUCACUUAGUGCAUUUCAAGGAUUAGGCAUGUUGUCCGCUCUUUAGUUUAUGUGGCUUUCUGAUUUAUUUUGAUAUUCUAAGACAUUUUUAUGCCCCCGAAGGAGGGCAUAUUGUGAUUGGACUGUCCGUUCGUCUGUCCG